GUCUCUGUGGCGCAAUUGGUUAGCGCGUUCGGCUGUUAACCGAAAGGUUGCUGGUUCAAGACCAGCCAGGGACG
rfam:Ciona savignyi cont_36403, whole genome shotgun sequence.